rnacentral:lncRNA from 1 species
CACGGUUAUUCCACGUGUCAGUCAGUUCAUCGGGCGCAUCUGGAGUCAUUGAAAACAGUAAUAGGAAGUCAAACAAACCCGCUUGAUGCAAAAAUUCAGGAGGACAUUCGGUUUUUAAGGAAAUAGUGCUGAGGAAGGACCAGGCUGGACCUCUUUGGACCCUGAGACUGGGAGGGUCUCGCUCUGUUGCCCAGGCUGGAUGGAGUACAGUGUUGUGACCACAGCUCACUACAGCCUCAACCUCCCAGGCACAAGAGAUCCUCCCACCUCAGCCUCCUGAGUAGCUGGAACUACAG